UCAAAUCAACUUUGAUGAUUCAUACUAACAUUAUUGGAAAAAGUAUUUCGAUGAUUCAGGCACUUUUUCUUACAUUAGUACCUGUUAAUGUAGAGAAUAAUGAUUAUGAAGCAAGUCCAUCUUUUGUUCUAAUAUGGAUUUUAAAGCAUAAACUGACUUGUAUACUAUGGCACACCCCAAGCGUUUUACUUUUCAGGCUCGUUGCCCAUAAACCAUUUGGCAGCAGAGGGCGCUCUUCUGUUAAAAUCCGAAAUGCUUUUUAAAAGGCUUUUAGGGUAGCACAUUCGCUAGAAUCCAAGGAACAGUACUUGAAGUACUGUUUUCAAAUAACUAAAGUAGGGGGCUCCUGGGUGGCUCAGUCGUUAAGCGUCUGCCUUCAGUUCACGUCACGAUCCCAGGGUCCUGGCACCGAGCCCCGCACCGAGCCCCGCAUCGGGCUCCCUGCUCUGCGGGAAGCCUGCUUCUCCCUCUCCUGCUCCCCCUGCUUGUGUUCCCUCUCUUGCUGUGUCUCUCUCUGUCAAAUAAAUAAAUAAAAUCUUUAAAAAAAAAAAAAAAAGUACGUUUGGGCUCUGAGUUUUAUUCAGGGGAGAAGGAUGUCAAAGUGGAACGUUUAUGAAAUACAAUUUAAUGAGAUCUUUGACUUUAGCGCAUGCUUAGUCUCUUCUGGAUAAAUGUAUUUGUCUGAUUGAUUCAUUCCGCUAAUACUUACUGAGGACCAAAGGGGUGUAAGAUACCAACAUAUGCUUCCAGCAGUCAUCCCGGAUAUUGUUACAGAAAGGCUUGGAACUUCAGAAUACGCUGUACGCGCUUUAAGGGCAGAACAUUUUAAAACAAAAUGAAGGAAUAAAGUCACCAUAUUUACCCGCUCGAAUGUAAAGAAUUCACUGUCUGAUAGAUUCUACCAAAGAUGUUUGGAACGAACAGCAGAAAGUCUCUGUUCUCAGUUCACAUCCUGAAGAGAUAAAUGAUUUUGUAACACCCGACUAUUAAUACGUGACAAUAGCUUCAUAUUUCUCGCGUGAUCUACGGCUCUUGCUGGAGAGAAUCUUCUGUGCGUCUCCACAACAUCGGAUUGCUUCCUGGAUUGCAAAUCAUGUUCUAUUCCUCCCUCUCUGACCUUCCCCCCCGCCGCCACCUCUCCCCCCAGAGCGAACCAACUCCGGGCAGGGUCAAGUUGCUGCACAUUUUCAACUGCUGCAAGAGAGUCUCUUCUGCAAGAACCGCAAAGGGGAAAGUUUCCGCAUCGCCGCUUUUUAUUAGCUAAUUGGCUCAUUUUUAAAGGCUUAGAUUUAAACUAGGAGGAAUCCUACAUCUUGCAUUUUCUGAACCCUCCUUGUUUCGUUUUCAAGCUACUGAGGUCUUACUAGGGAUCAUGCAAAAGCCACUUUUGAACACCCCAAGUCGCAAGUCAUUGGACAGGACUCUAGAUGCGUGUCCAACUCCCACGUGGUGCUUCUGCGAGCCACCCCGAGCGUUUGCUCGGGUUAAAACCCUUAAAACUUCGUGCCUUUUCUUUCUGGAGAGAGCAAAAAAAUCCAGUCUAAAAGGGCCGACUUUCGGCUUCCCAAAACUGAUCCUUCCGGGAAACAAUCGGCAUCCCGCAGGGCUGCUGCACGACUCAAGACCUAAAAGGUUCCCCAGUUCUAACGACUCUGGACGCCGCCGCUGUUCCGCGCCGGUCGCCGGGCCGCGCGACCGCCACUCCGCCGUCCCCGCCCGCCCGCGCGGCCGCGCGCGCUGGCUGAGGAGGAGGGGCGCGCUAGGCAGAGGUCGCCGCCCGGUUGAGCAAUCCGGCUAUGCAAAUAAGCAAGAUUACGACAGCCAAUAGAAAGCCGAGUCUGCCCUGACGCGCGCGCCCAGAGCCCGUAGUAUUUAUAGAUCGUAUUUAAAGAGCCCUUGGGAGUCUCCUCGGGCCCGGCUGGGCGGUGUCGGCGGCGGAGGCUGUGGAGGUGCAUUUACCCCGGCGCGCGUGAGGUGGCGGAGCGGUCGCUGCUGGUCCCAACCCAGUGGGGGUGUGGGACGUGGAAGAGAGUCCGAGCACGUUCCACGGUGGUUUUUACCCACUUCCCAGCCUCGGUUUCUGGAGAGGGGGAGGAAAUGCUGCAGUUUCAGCAACAGUUUUACUUAAAACAAAGCCAGCUUGCUGGGUGCUUUGUCAGACUUUAUCGCGCAGGAAUUGGAUGAGAAACAAGUGAUUUGAAAGCCAAACACCUGAUAGAGGUUGAAGCUCAAUUCUGCCCCAUCCCAGCUGGAAGGCUUUAGACGAGCUGUGAAAUGUGAGACCCAGUUUCCUCAUCUGUGAAAUAGAAGGUAACCUGCUACGCAUCUGCUGCUAGACAGCUUUGCUCCUCACAUUCUCCUCUGCUACCUCUACUUCCUCCUCUAGUUCUUUAAAUGCUGCUAUUAAAAGAUCAAAAUCCCUGCCUCGGCCGUCUCUUCUCACUCAACACACUCUCCAUAGAUGAUUUAUCCUGGCCAUGGGCCUGGCUACCUUUUGGAGUCCUCCUUCUCCUGCCCAGGUCUUUUUUCUGAGCUCCAGAUCUGUGUAUUUGACUAUAUAUAGAAGUCCCCACUUGGAUACCUCAAACUUAAAUGUUCCAAACUGAACUGGUCAUUAUCUAUCUCCCAGCCACUUCCGAGAAAAGGUCUAUCCCCACCCAGGUGUUGAAGUCAAAACCUAGCUAAUUCCUCUUUCCCUUAACCAAUACAUCCAAUUAAUGGCCAGCUCCUACCGUGGUCAAGCUGUUAGCUGCCUUCUGUCUACCAGCCCCUAAAACCUUCUUCACUGUGCAGCCAUAUCCCCUUCAUCAAUCCCCUUUGGUGGCUUCUGCUGCCCUCAGAAUGAAGCAGGGCAUGGGUUACAAAGCCCCUCAAGACUAGGUCCAGACCUAGGUCUUGAGCUAUUCCUCUUGCUUGCACUCCAUCCUUCAGCCAUUCUUAAAUUCUUUUAAUUCUUCUAAUGGCACCAAAUCCUUUCAUUGUUUUUCUGAACUUUAGCGUAAGCUACUCCUAGGGUACUGCCAUACCAUGUCAUCCCAUUCCCUUCCCUUCUGUAACAGCUCCUACUACUCUUUAGUUCUCACUGUAUGUUACUUCCUCCAGAAGGCUCUUUGACCUCCACUCAGCUCCACUCAGCUCCACUGUAGGUGCUCCCAAGCUUGCUCAGUGAACUGCUUUCCCAUCACAGCACCCAUACACUGUAUCCUAAGUGCCUUUAAACUUGGCUGAAUCUGUGUCCUUAUUCAUGUGGAAGGGGGAUACAUCAGAAUCAUUCAGGGUGCUUUGUCAACCAGCUCUCCAAAACCCCUUCCACCCCUCCCCACUCAAAAUCUGCCAUGAGUGUGUUCUGAGCUGAAAAUCCCAACACAAUGAGUCCCUGGCAUGGAUGAUGUUAUGCUGUGUCCCCCAAGUGUGUCAGGACGGAAGAAAGGUUGAGAACGGCUACAUGAGGUUGGCAGUGCCGCAGGGAAAGGGGCGGGAUCUGCCCUGUCCACCUUUAUCUCCUUCAUGCGUGGUACAGUGUGAGGCAGAGUAGAAAAUACUCUGGAAGGAAGUACUUGUACAGUUGAUCGGGGAUGUGAGGGUUAGAUAAAAUAUGUAUAUUGAGUCACCAGGACAUAAUAGACAUUGGGUACAUCUGGAUUGUCUUUCCUUCCAGUUGUUAAAAUGAAGCUUAGGGCCCCCAGCUGGCUCAGCUGGUAGAGCACGCGACUCUUGAUCUCAGGGUCGUGAAUUCAAACCCCAAGUUGAGUGUGGAGCCUACUGAAAAAAAAAAAAAAUAAGGAAACUUAGGAGUUAUCAUUUGAUGCUUUGUGUCUGUCAUCCUUGUCACCCUUUAUCUCCCCCAAGUGAGUGAAAGAGAAAGAUAUUUACAGUAAGCUCCUAGAAUCCUGCCACAUCCCUAAAUUUUUUUUUUAAACACCUACAAAACCUAGGCCUGAUUUUUGACUGAAACUCCAUUGUUAGUGGACAAGCUGCCUCAGAUAUUACUGUUUCUCUGUUGGUCUGGUUUUUUGUUGGUUUUAAGAGAGAAAUCUAUCUCCCAAAAUCCUUUUUGGGGGGAAGCCAUCUUCAGAAAAGGAAUUUUAUUCCGAUUUGAGUGGGACUGACACUCAGGAGGGGUCAGACUGGAGCCAGAAAGCUAUAAACUGAAAGCUAGUGAGAGCCUUUGCACUUCACCGAACAUGGAUGGGGCUCCAUGGCAGGUGGAUGACUGCAAGGCUUUAGUGGCCUCAGGUAGUUCCCCCAAAAGAGAACAAGAUACAGGUGGCUUUGAGCUGGGUCUGGAUAUACGUUUGGCUGUGUGGCCUUAGUCAAUAGUACAGCCUCUCUGGGUCUUCCUUCCAUGGUAAAAUAGGAUUCCAUUUGUCCGACCAUAUACCCCACUGAUUGUCAGAAUCAAGGGUUACAUUUGCAGAAAUACUUUGUCAGACGCAACUAUAAAGUACUACAUAAAAAUAGGGUGUUAUUAAUAUACAAUAAUUAUAAAUAUAGACUAUUAAGUUAUGAGCUGGAAGUCGGUACACAUUUAUUGAUGACCACGUGAUGAUAAGACACAAAGAUGAAUGAAAAGGAAAAGGAGUUUGUUUAUUGAUCCUGCCACCUUCUUUCCCAAAUGCUUUAUAGUCAUCAUCUCUUCUAAUAGCACAAAAUAUUCUGUCCUCAAGAGGUUCCUAUCAGAAAGGUGACAUGGGCACAUCUUAAGCCUCACAGAAAGCGAUAAUGAUAAUGCCAAAGUUGUCAAAUGGGAACACAGAUGAGGAGGCUGUUAAUCUGCUAGCCUCUUAGAGAGGAGGGGCAGGUGAGGGAGACAUAAAUAUUGACGUUGACACUUAGGCCUUGAAGAAUAAAGUAAGAUAAACAGACCCAUAAGCAGGGGAAGGGCACGUUAAGUAGAGGGAACAGCAGUGGUGAAGGAUGGCGCUAGGACUGUGUCUGUGAGGGGAAAGGUAAACGUUGGGUGGUGUGGCAGAGCAUGUGACAGCAGUGGGUAGACAUUAGGGUGAAAAGUGAAGCUGGGGGGCGCCUGGGUGGCUCAGUUGGUUAGGCAGCUGCCUUCGGCUCAGGUCAUGAUCCUAGGGUCCUGGGAUCGAGCCCCGCGUCGGGCUCCCUGCUCAGCGGGGAGCCUGUUUCUCCCUCUCACACUCCCUCUGCCUGCCGCUCCCCCUGCUUGUGUUCCCUCUCUCUCUGUCUCUCUGUCAAAUAAAUAAAUAAAAUCUUUAAAAAAAAAAAAAAAAGAAAAAGAAAAGUGAAGCUGUGCUGUUCCUGGAGGACUUGAUGUGCCCGUGCUAAGGAACAGGGAUUUUAUUCUAUAGGUAGUGGGGAGUCAGUCUCCCAGAACACAUUUUAUCUAGAAGGAAAGUGACAUGGUUAGACUUAUCUCUUUUAGAAAGGUAGCUGCAUGGAGACCAGCCUGGAGACAAGGAGGCAAGUUGGAUGUAAUUGCAGUAGGACAAGCAAGUGAUCACAAAAGCCUACAACAGUGGUUUUCAAACUGUGGGUUACCACCCAUAAGUGGAUCUUGAAAUGAUUUUAGUGGGUCACAACCUGCAUUUAGAAAAAAAUAGAUUUGAAUACAAAAAGUAUCAGAGUCUCAUGUAAUAAAGGUCAAUGUUUCAUAAAAUUUCUUUUUGAUUUACUCGUGCAUCACUUUCUAGGUAAUUUGAAUUUUUAAUAAAUUCACUUCUACAAUAGAUUUAAAUAACCUUCAAAAUGAACAAAGUGGAUUUACUUAAAAUUUAGCAUGUUUAAGUGCCUAUGUUUCAACAUAGGCACCAAUUACUUUGUAUAGAAAGCAUGACAGCUUGAGGCUAUUCAACAUAAUGGAGGGUUUAUGACCUGGAAAAUAAAAGAAAUGAGGGAAAAAAAUGAGUGGUUAAUUAUUAGGUUUAAAUCUUGAGUAAGUUUCCUCUUGGUUACAAAUGGUAUCUUAGAAGUGAUUUUAUUAAAAAUGCGAACUGCAGAAGGCAUAUCCUGGGUCAGAAUGCAAAAUGUAUUUCUUUUCUUUCUGAAGAUUUUAUUUAUUUAUUUGACAGAGAGAGAGAGAUAGCGAGAGCAGGAACACAAGCAGGGGGAGUGGAAGAGGGAGAAGCAGGCUUCCAGGUGAGCAGGGAGCCCGAUGCGGGGCUCAAUCCCAGGACCCUGAGAUCAUGACCUGAGCCGAAGGCAGACACUUAACAACUCAGCCACCCAGGCGCCCCGCAAAAUGUAUUUCUUACCAUGGGGUCAGGGUUCAAGAAAGCUUAAAAACGUUGACUUCAAGAUUGAGGCAGUGGCUCUGGGAUGAGAGAGAAGGAUCAAGAUAUCAGAGUAAUUUCUGAGGUACAAUUAAGACCAGUUCACCAACUGGAUGUAGGAAUAAAGGAGAAGGAAAUUAAGGAUGAUUCACAGGUUCCUAAUUUGGGUUGCCAGGGCACAUGGGGGUUCAGUUCAGUUCAACCAAUAUCUCUUGAUAGGAAGUGCAGAAACAGGCAAAUGAGGAAGGCAUGGUCGAGGCCCUUGAGGAACUCCAUGUGGAUAAAAGAGAUGCAUAAGCAGGGUAUGUUAAUAAAAUAUGGUAACUACACUCAUAAAAGUAUUCACAAGAUGCUACUCAAGCUAAGAGGAAGCCCAGGCUGGAUCAUCACAGAAGUUUUCUUGAGGAGACAUCUUUGAACUGAGUUUUGAAGGAAGAGCUAGUCAGCCAGAUAAGAAGGAAACAAUCUAAGACCAGAGAGGUGGAACAGAAUGUUUGUGUGUGAGGAGUUGUGUGCAUACAUAUGUGUGAAUGCGUGUGGGCCAAUGUUAUAAGCAAUUUGGUGUUACUAGAACAUUGGGAAGUCAGAGAUGCAGUUGGCAGGGGUAAAGAGACAGGUUAUGAAAAGCUUUGUCUAUCACGCCAGGGAGCUCAGAGCUCUUGUAUGAGAUAAAGAGCCACUGAAGGGGUUUUUAAGAAGGUUAGUAACAAGGUCACAGUAAGGUGAUUGUGUCUUAGAAAGUUUGCUUUGGCAGCAUGUGGAAAAGGUCUUUAUAGGGAACUGGAUUGAAGAUCAAGAGACUAGAAAUGGGGACAUUAGAUUGGUCCAGAUGAGAGAUGAUGGCCUGAAUUAGGGGCAUUGAGAAAAGGAUGAAGAGAAACAGAGACACAGAUUGGCAAGGCACCGUCACUAAUUGGAUAUAGAGGACUCCAUCAGUCAGAGUCUACUCAGGAAAGCAGAACCCAUGUCAGUGAGUUCCAUAGAAGAAAUUUAACAUGAGGAACUAUUUUUGAAGGUGUUAGAAAAAUGAAAGGGUUAAUAGGAAACCGUUGGAAACCCCGAGAUUAGGAAGAGCAGGGCUACUCCCCCUAAGACUGGACAGACCAAAGAGGCAGGUCGUGCCACCAGAGCCCCGGAGCUGUGGCUGCCUAGAGGGAGCUGGACCAUGAAAGAGAUGCAGUCAGCAAGAGGGAAGAAAUGCCCUCCCCUGGUCCCCUUAUCCCCACUGGCCAAGCCUGACUAGGAGCUGGCUGGCAAGGGAGGCUGAGAAAGGUAGCUUGUCUUUUGCAGGAAGAGCAAAGCUCAGGAAGGUACAAAAAUAGAUCUGAGCAAGAUGGCAAAUGAGCAAGACAUGAGGAUAAAGGAGAAAGAGUUGAUCGAUUCCUCCUGGCUAUCUUGCCUGGAUUGAGGUGGGAUGGUUGUGUCAGAACCAGAGAUUAGGAAACCAGGAAGAUGGUGGGAGUGAGGAGGAUGAAGGAGGGGAGACAGAGAAGGACACAAAUAACCUAACUUUUUAAAAACUCCCUCAUUGGGGCACCUGGGUGGCUCAGUCAGUUAAGAUUAAGCAUCCAACCCUUGAUUUUGGCUUAGGUCGUGAUAUUGGAGUUGUGAGAUUGAGCCCUGUCUUGGGUUUCGUGCUCAGCAGAGAGUCUACUUGAGAUUCUCUCUCUCCCUCUCUCUCUGCCCCUCCCCCAUGCCUGUGUUCAUUCUCUCUCUCUCAAAUAAUAAAUCUUUUAAAAAAUAAAUAAAUAAAAACUCCCUCAUUGUAGUAUUGUUAUGUAUACACAGGAUUGAUAGGUCCAAUUGAUUUUAAAAGAACAGUUCUAACGUUCAGAACAGCUUUAUAACUGUAUCUUUUAACAUAGGGGAAGAAACCUCCAUACUCUGAAAUGCACAAAAUUUCUGCCCCCCAAGUCCUUGAACCUUCCCUUGAACCUUGCAACCCGGUCUCAUUUAUAAUGUUGGUGUGAACUAACAUGAGGAAAACAGGAGGAAGUUACUGAAUCCUUACCAAAUACCACUCACUGUAUGCUUUACAUAGAGUUUGCACACAGUAAAUUACAUCUACUACCUCAUUUAAUCCUUAUGAUAGUUGUAUGAGGUUGGACUUAUUAUUCUUCCUGUUUUACAGAUAAGGAAACUGAUACAUCAGGGGGUUUGGUUCAUCUCCCUUGCCACAUAGGCCUCUCAACCAGUAAGUGUUAGCUGGGACUGGGACUGUGGGCUGUCUGACUCAAAACCCAUGCCCUUCACCUCUGUACUAUAAAACCUCACAAACUCUAAAGUGGUUAAGUUCAAAUAAAUAAAAUUGUGAUAGCGUCAUUGUGUCCAUGUAUAUCCAGUUGCUUAUGGAGUAGUGAACAUUUUGAUGGGUUUUCUCACAUCUUGUUCACUCUAGAUUUUAAUAAUUAUCAUACUUUUGUUUCCCAAUCUGUACAGGAGUGUAAUAGUCAGGACUCUUGGUAGAAGUGACAGAAACAUAAGUACACAUAGGCCAAAGAACAAAGAAGCUUAUGGCUCCCUUCACAGAAAAAGUCCAGGGGUCAGCUUGUCUUUUUUUUUUUUUUUUUUUUUAAAGAUUUUAUUUAUUUGACAGAGAGAUCACAAGCAGACAGAGAGAGAGGGAGAAGCAGGUCAGCUUGUCUUCAUCAUGGCUGGAUAGGCUCAAACAUUGCUACGGGAUUGUUUUUCACUCUUGAUCUCUUGGCACCAGCUCUGCUUUGGACUCCUUCUCUUGCAGACUCUCUCCUGGUGGCAAGAAAGGUGGUCUUCCACCAUCUUAGGUUUACAUGGACUUGCUAGCUGGUUGUCCCAGAAGAAGAGGUGGCCUCUAUUCUCCAAAAGCCACACUAAUCUCCAAGGCUCAGUUUAGACCCAUAGCCACCUUGGACUAACCACGGUGCCCAGGGAAGGGGUUCCUCUGAUGCUCAGGCCUGUGGUGGGUCAGGCAGAGGCCUGUGGUGGGUCAGGCAGAGCCAUGUGAUUGGCUGUCCUAUCGAGAUCCCAUGGAGCUGGGCAAGGAAGUACUUGCCCAGAGUGAGGCCUAGAGAGCAGCAAAAACGCCACAGGUUUCCACUACAGGGAACAUAUGAAACUCUCAUUUUGCCUGCUUAUCCAAACAGAAUCCUGGAACUAUUUCAAAAUCACUGGAUAAUUGUGCAUUCUGUUCUUCAUUUGAACUAAGAAAACAUUUUCUCACACCUUUUUUUGGCUUUUUUUUUUUUUUGCAUUUUACUUGGAAUUCUAAGCUUCUUUAAGAGGCAGAUAUAAGCAUCAAGGCUAUAUCUGAUUGCAGAAAACAUCCGGAAGCUCUCUCGCAACACCACUUUUCUACUCCUCACUAGCUCCCUUCCAAAUUCCUCCCACAUCUUCCCACAUGAUUCUCUAGAGAACCACUGGGUCCAUCUCUUGAUAUAUAUGGUCAUCAGGGUGGUCCAAGAUCUAUGGCAUUGUUCUGGCAAUCAGUCAUGCUUUCUCUUGUGGGGGGGGGGGGUUUGCAGGGGUGACAACUGAGGACCCUCAUUUUAUUAUCAAAAUAUUUCAAAAAUGUUUCAAAAGAAGUAAUUAGUGGCAUUUGAUAACAGCCUUCUGCUGUUUUGCCAUCUUUAACCCUAGCCUGGUUUAUAUUAGAAGCCAGCCUCAUGACCAAGAUUAUUCUUUAAAACACUGAGUUUAUGACAAGGCAGGUUCCUCGCAGAAAGUAGACAGGGACGCAAGAGCCAAUAGUUUGUUUUUUUCCCUGUUGGCAUGGAGCCUAGGUUUAAGAAUAAGUGUUACUACUGGAGAUUCAAAUCUGUCAGUACAUGUUAAGUAUGUCCUCUACAAUUAUUCGUAAAACUUGCUGGAACUUGCUAAUGCCAGCUAGCUUGAUGCCUAUGUGCAUGAGUUAUUCUACAGACAAUAUCUGCAACUGGUACAGCAUGCUGGCCUCCCCAUUAAUGGUUUUCCCCGGAAUAAAUAAUAGUUGGAGUACUUCUUCUUGUCAUGAAAUAUUUAAAUAUUAAUCCAGCAAUCCUCAGACACCACAGAACUUCUAUCAUUUUCCUGGUGUUUUUACACUGUGGAGAUUCAGUUGAUCUGGCUAGCUGUUUUGGCAUCAAAAGGUAGAACCAGUUCUCAAUUACGUGAUUGUUGUGGCAAAGCUUAGGUUCCUAUUCCUUUAAUUCUAUGCCAUUACUGUCCGGAUGGUUAGGACUUUUACCUGUAAGUUGUCUAUAUUUUAUUUUUAUAGCCAAGAAUGCUAAGUUACACAUUAAAACCACUUAGCCUUCUUAUGGCUAAAUAAAACCAGUUCCCUUCCUUACCAUUUUUAUGUGCUAUUUUUCUAGCUCCGUAAUCAGUCUUUGUACUAUACUGUUCCCUUUCUAGUUUCUGGCAUCCUUUUAAAAAAAAAUGAAGCCUCAGACUGGAUGUGAGUUUCUAAUAUAGGUUUGACUGACCCUAUAUAUACAUAUGUACACAUAGGGAAAAAUUUCUUCAUGGUUUUUGUGUGUCACAUUUCAGUUAGUAUACUGUAGGAUCAUGUCAGCGCUUUUUAAAUAGCAGUUCUAUAUUGCUGACACAUUCACAAUGAUAUAAUGAUAUAACUUGAAACCUAGGUGGUACUGUAAGACUUCCUUUUAACUAUUUUAAGUUAAAGCAUCACGAAAAUUGUUAUGGUGGCUCUAACUACCAUUCAAGAGAAAUAUCCUUCAAAAUAGAUGAUCAUCGUCGUAGUCUACAUUUUAAGGCUUUUUUUCUUCUAAAAGUUCAAAAUUCUCUGCAAUAAGUUGUCUAACACCAAUUGAUUAUAUGGUUUCAAAGUAAAAUUUUACACAUAUCCUGUGUGUAAUUUUAGACCUCCAAGCAAAACUUUUCAUGAAGGGCUCCCCUUUUAAUCCAGUACCCUCAAAUACUUGGGGGUCCCCCCUUUUUGGGAGGGCUU